CCUACGGGAGGCAGCAGUGAGGAAUAUUGGACAAUGGACGAGAGCCUGAUCCAGCCAAGUCGCGUGAAGGAUGACUGCCCUAUGGGUUGUAAACUUCUUUUAUAUGGGAAUAAAAUGUUCCACGUGUGGGAUUUUGUAUGUACCAUAUGCAUAAGGAUCGGCUAACUCCGUGCCAGCAGCCGCGGUAAUACGGAGGGUCCGAGCGUUAUCCGGAUUUAUUGGGUGUAAAGGGAGCGUAGGUGGAUUGUUAAGUCAGUUGUGAAAGUUUGCGGCUCAACCGUAAAAUUGCAGUUGAAACUGGCAGUCUUGAGUACAGUAGAGGUGGGCGGAAUUCGUGGUGUAGCGGUGAAAUGCUUAGAUAUCACGAAGAACACCGAUGGCGAAGGCAGUUCACUGGACUGCAACUGACACUGAGGCUCGAAAGUGUGGGUAGCAAACAGGAUUAGAUACCCCUGUAGUC
rnacentral:rRNA from 1 species